rnacentral:rRNA from 1 species
AGUGAACGCUGGCGGUAGGCCUAACACAUGCAAGUCGAACGGCAGCACAGUAACUUCCUGCUCUUACGCGUGGCGAGUGGCGGACGGGUGAGGAAUACAUCGGAAUCUACUUUUUCGGGGGGGAUAACGUAGGGAAACUUACGCUAAUACCGCAUACGACCUCCGGGUGAAAGCAGGUGAUCUUCGGACCUUGCGCGAUUGAAUGAGCCGAUGUCGGAGUAGUUAGUUGGCGGGGUAAAGGCCCACCAAGGCGACGAUCCGUAGCUGGUGUGAGAGGAGGGUAGGCAGCCUUAGAGGUGGACCACGGUCCCGGCGCCUAAGGGACGGAGCAGUGGGGAAUGUUGGGCAGUGGGCGGAAACCUGAUCCAGCCGGACCAAGUGGGUGAAGAAGGCGUCCGGGUUGGAAAGACGGUUUGUUGGGAGAGAAACGCAGCAGGUUAAUACCCCGCUGUUCUGACGGUACCCAAAGAAUAAGCACCGGCUAACUACGUG